CCUACGUGAGGCUGCAGUGGGGAAUAUUGCACAAUGGGGGAAACCCUGAUGCAGCGACGCCGCGUGAGUGAAGAAGUAAUUCGUUAUGUAAAGCUCUAUCAGCAGGGAAGAAAAUGACGGUACCUGAGUAAGAAGCCCCGGCUAACUACGUGCCAGCAGCCGCGGUAAUACGUAGGGGGCAAGCGUUAUCCGGAUUUACGGGGUGUAAAGGGAGCGUAGACGGCAGUGCAAGUCUGGAGUGAAAGGCGGGGGCUCAACCCCCGGACUGCUCUGGAAACUGUACGGCUGGAGUGCAGGAGAGGUAAGUGGAAUUCCUAGUGUAGCGGUGAAAUGCGUAGAUAUUAGGAGGAACACCAGUGGCGAAGGCGGCUUACUGGACUGUAACUGACGUUGAGGCUCGAAAGCGUGGGGAGCAAACAGGAUUAGAUACCCUAGUAGUC
rnacentral:rRNA from 1 species